AUUGAACGCUGGCGGCAUGCCUUACACAUGCAAGUCGAACGGUAACAGGUCUUCGGAUGCUGACGAGUGGCGAACGGGUGAGUAAUACAUCGGAACGUGCCCGAUCGUGGGGGAUAACGGAGCGAAAGCUUUGCUAAUACCGCAUACGAUCUACGGAUGAAAGCGGGGGAUCUUCGGACCUCGCGCGGACGGAGCGGCCGAUGGCAGAUUAGGUAGUUGGUGGGAUAAAAGCUUACCAAGCCGACGAUCUGUAGCUGGUCUGAGAGGAUGAUCAGCCACACUGGGACUGAGACACGGCCCAGACUCCUACGGGAGGCAGCAGUGGGGAAUUUUGGACAAUGGGGGCAACCCUGAUCCAGCCAUGCCGCGUGCAGGAUGAAGGCCUUCGGGUUGUAAACUGCUUUUGUACGGAACGAAAGACUCUGGUUAAUACCUGGGGUUCAUGACGGUACCGUAAGAAUAAGCACCGGCUAACUACGUGCCAGCAGCCGCGGUAAGCACG
rnacentral:rRNA from 1 species